UAAUCUCACCUUUUCAACUUUGAUGUUGAUGAGUGUGGAUUUGGAUGCUGCUGUUAAAUCAACAGCUCAUCUGAAAUGCCUGAGUGUGCCCUGUUUCUGUGGUGUAUUCGGUGUAAUAAGUCUUCACCGGAGAUUGAUCCCUUUGGGAUCACAUUGCUUUUACUGAGUGCAUGCUUCCAACUGUCUUCACAAGACAACACUCUGACA
rnacentral:misc_RNA from 1 species